GACGAACGCUGGCGGCGUGCUUAACUCAUGCAAGUCGAACGGUAAGGCCCUUCGGGGUACACGAGUGGCGAACGGGUGAGUAACACGUGGGUGAUCUGCCCUGCACUUCGGGAUAAGCCUGGGAAACUGGGCCUAAUACCGGAUAGGACUCCGGACUGCAUGGUCUGGGGUGGAAAGCUUUUGCGGUGUGGGAUGGGCCCGCGGCCUAUCAGCUUGUUGGUGGGGUGAUGGCCUACCAAGGCGACGACGGGUAGCCGGCCUGAGAGGGUGACCGGCCACACUGGGACUGAGAUACGGCCCAGACUCCUACGGGAGGCAGCAGUGGGGAAUAUUGCACAAUGGGCGCAAGCCUGAUGCAGCGACGCCGCGUGAGGGAUGACGGCCUUCGGGUUGUAAACCUCUUUCAGCACAGACGAAGCGCAAGUGACGGUAUGUGCAGAGGAAGGACCGGCCAACUACGUGCCAGCCGCCGCCGUAA
rnacentral:rRNA from 1 species